GACGAACGCUGGCGGCGUGCUUAACACAUGCAAGUCGAACGGAAAGGCCAUGCUUUUGUGGGGUGCUCGAGUGGCGAACGGGUGAGUAACACGUGAGUAACCUGCCCUUGACUUUGGGAUAACUUCAGGAAACUGGGGCUAAUACCGGAUAGGAGCUCCUGCUGCAUGGUGGGGGUUGGAAAGUUUCGGCGGUUGGGGAUGGACUCGCGGCUUAUCAGCUUGUUGGUGGGGUAGUGGCUUACCAAGGCUUUGACGGGUAGCCGGCCUGAGAGGGUGACCGGCCACAUGGGGACUGAGAUACGGCCCAGACUCCUACGGGAGGCAGCAGUGGGGAAUAUUGCACAAUGGGCGGAAGCCUGAUGCAGCAACGCCGCGUGCGGGAUGACGGCCUUCGGGUUGUAAACCGCUUUCGCCUGUGACGAAGCGUGAGUGACGGUAAUGGGUAAAGAAGCACCGGCUAACUACGUG
rnacentral:rRNA from 1 species